rnacentral:tRNA from 1 species
GCUCCGCUGGCGCAAUGGUAGCGCGCCAGACUUCUAAUCUGGAGGGUAAGAAUCCUCCAACAACGCCGCUGCCACCAGGAAAAAAAAAUUAACAAUUUCCAUAGUUGUGGGUUCGAGUCCCACGCGGAGUG